UUUUGCUUUUCAUCACCUGCAAGAUGUACAUAAAAAUCACAUAAGCUGGAAUUCAACAAAAGACCUCUGACUAUGUGAAGAUACGGUGGGAAGAUGACUGACCGCAAGACAGGAAGAGAGCCCUCACCGAGGAACCAAAUUGGCCAGUAUCUUGAUUUUGGAUUUCUCAACCUCAAGAACCAUGAGAAAUGAAUGUCUGCUGUUCAAGCCACCCAGUCAAUGUCCAUGAGAGCAAGCAUCUUUGUCCGUUUGGCUCACUGUUGGAUUCCCUGUUUUAAAAAUAUCACCCGGCCCAGCAAAAAGUUUGGAAACCUUCAUCUAGAAAGUGGUCUAGCAAAGUGUGGUCCAUGGAUGAGUUUGAUCUGCAAACUGCUUGUUAUUGGUUCAUGACAAGGUCUACCAAUUGCAUUUUGAGAGCUCAGAUAAGCAGAGAGCAAUGCAAUUUGUCACAGAAGGAUGAUUAUGUAUAUGCACUGUCAUGUCUAUUUCCAUGCCUAACUCAAAGGAGACACAAGGAGAAAGUGAGCUCAGCCUGGAUAAAUUGGAGAUUGUGAUGACUUCUAGGAAGCCUCAGGAAAGAGAAACAAAGACAACACUGGCCUGCUGCUCUCUGCAAUGGUGGGACCCUUGUGGGAUAACUGUUUUAGGAAUGAAGGUGUCUACCCUCUCUAGAAAUGAAAAUGCAAGUUUGGCUGUGGUUAAGUAUUGGAUGGAGGCAAAAAGAAACUGACAUAUUUUCUUCUUUUCAAUUGUUUGAUUCACCCUGAAGGGCAUGGCUGCUUAAUUUUUUUCUCCAGAGAUAGGUGGACAGAUAAAGACAGGAAAGUAACAUCCACAGACUGCCCUCUGUGAAGGUGACAGUGAUGAAAGGAAUGCUUGAUCUGAACACUGGUAAAUAAAGUGACCGCAUAUUUCCCUAGCCAGGAGAGCAAUCUGGCUCAAAAGAAACGAGAACAAUGACAUUACUGCCAGGCUGCUCCUAAGCCUUUGGCUAUUCUGUUCAGUGCACAAAAAAAAGCAGUGAACAUAGCUGUGACCUGCCUUGUUGGUAGUAUCACAAUUCUUUGGGGCUCCACUUUAAGAAAUUGAGACCUACCUACCUUAAUCCUUGGGGGGUUAAGCUUUCAGACUGGAAUGAUAACUGAACUAUUCAUUUGCAGUAAUUCUGGGUUUUGUGCAUAUUUUAAAAAGGAAUACCGGGCUUGCCUAUAUUCAUUACAACGUCCUCCCAGCUUUCAAAUCUUCCAAUACAAUGCCUCUUCUCUAGUCUUUUAAGCACAUCCUGUGACUGGAUAUGAUUAUGGGAGAUUUACAUGCAUCCUUGUCUAUUGUAUCAAAAGAUCAGGGAAUAAAAUGCCCAUCAUUAAAACCCCAAAGUGAUUGGAUUGGCAUGAGGAAUGGG
rnacentral:lncRNA from 10 species